GACACUUUGUAAAAUACAGCAAACAAAAGAAGCGCAUGGACAUCAACAACAAGCAAGUGGAAAAUUGAGUGACCAACAGCAAAGCCAAGUCAUUAGUGGAAGGGGAUCACAAGCUAGCCAAGGGAGCUACAAUAAACUGGUUGAAAUCAGAAUAAGUGGUUUUGGACUAAACCGAGUUUAAUGGACAAAGACCUUAGAUAUUAAUGGAAAAGACAUUACCUUAAAGUGGAUACUGGCGCAGAUGUCAAUUGUAUUCCAAUAGAUAUAGUGAAAGCUCUCAAACUUGAAGUUAAACAAGAAAUUCUCAUAAUUUUUUAUUACAAAAAUGUUAAAGUUAAUAAUUACGGAAUAGCAACAGCAAGCUGCACUGAUUUAAACUCAAAAACAUGUAAGAAUAUUGAAUUUUUAGUGGUAGAAAAUAAAUGCGAACCUAUAUUAGGUCUUGAAUCUUCAGUUGAAUUAAAGCUAAUCAAACAUUUAAAUA